CCUCGCUUCCCCGCCGUUCUCCACGCUUCCCUCGCCGCUCUCCUCGUCUGAACGGCGGCGGUAGCUAUGUUUAGAGAAAAAACCUGGAGUUCACCAGGCUGGCUGAAGUUGUGAGGCUGGGAGGCUGAUGGUGCUGCUACUGGCUGAUCCUUCUUCUUUCAGCUUUUGUUCGUCCUUUCUCAAGCCGUUGGACCAGGGCUACUUCCCUAUGUGCUGUUAAUGUAUUAAGUAGUUCCUUCGAAUUUGUAGUAUUAGUUAGUUUGAAUGUGGAAGUACCUUAAUUUUUAGGAACGAAAUGUUGCUUUGUAUGACCAAGGGUUUGAUACCUUAAUCUUUGGAUAAUUAAUUAUGUGAACUGUUGGA